rnacentral:rRNA from 1 species
ACGCUCGACACCUACUGGAGGCAGCAGUGGGGAAUAUUGCACAAUGGGGGAAACCCUGAUGCAGCGACGCCGCGUGAGCGAAGAAGUAUUUCGGUAUGUAAAGCUCUAUCAGCAGGGAAGAAACUGACGGUACCUGACUAAGAAGCACCGGCUAAAUACGUACCAGCAGCCGCGGUAAUCUGAGCGGGCUGGCAAGGC